AUUAUUAUUUUAUUAUUUAUAUAGUGCCAACAAAUUCCGUAGCGCUGUACAUUGGGUGGACUAACAGACACAUAAUUGAGAUCGGACCACUGACGUACAGGAACAGAGGGGGUUGAGGGCCCUGCUUGAUGAGCUUACAUGCUAGAGGGAGUGGGGUAUAGUGACACAAAGGGUUAAAGUAGGGGAAUUAAAUAGUUUGUUACAGAAGGGUUUAUUGAGUGCUUGGUAGGUCAUUUUUGACAGGUGAAGGAACGGAGUCAUGGGGUGAUAUAUGUGAUUUAGGUGUUAGUGAGGUACACCUGGUAUCUCUCCCUUAUAUAUGAUUUUUAUAUAAUUUUGUAUAGUGUGUAUACUUUAUUGCUCUUGUUUUAAUAAAUCUUAUAGUCUGUAAUGAAUG